CCGAGGUUUGAACAGGCGGAAGGCGGUGGAGCAGCAGCGCAGCCCCCGCAUCACAGAGAAGCCCCUCAGGAGAAGCCCCCGGGAUGGCCGGGAAGGACGAAAACGAUGGAAAUGAUGGAAGCACGGACGGCUGGUCCGGCAUCGAGGAGCGCCUGGAGGAGAUCAGGGAGAGCCUCCACACCCCUGGUGCCCCUCGGUCCCACCGUGCCCGUGCGUGUGACCGCGCCCUGC